GGGCGACUUCGCCGCCCGUGUCUGAACACGUCCAAACAUGUUCAAACACGUCUUAACAUGUUCAAACACGUUCAAUGACGUCAUAGAGAGUGAGAGGCAAAGCUUUACUAUAAAUGUCGAAGCGAAUGGUCGAUCGUCAUUCCAUCAUGAUCAGCUUGGUAGAUCCUCGUAAGUAAUACCCAUGACGUCAUCAUCGCCGAAAUGUUUGAAGAGUUUCGUUUCCAGUGUACAACACUUUUGCUGCGCGUGAAGUCGGUUUUUUCCCGCCUCACAUAUUUCGGGAGAUUGGCAGCGCCCGCUUCUUCUGUACCAAUUGUGGUGGAUUGUGGUCCAAAGAGCAAAAGCAUUGGACGGACCGAUUGAUUCGCCCGUUUCUCGGCUGUCGGACGGUACCGUUCGACGUACGUUGCGAAGGACUUCGACUAUUGAAGGAAGAUGGAGAAGAUGGACCAUCAGUGUCACUCUGUGACUGAAGAAGAUUAUUACGAAUGGCUACUGACGGGAGAUCUACCCCUGGUCCUAACCUUCAAGCCUCCUCCAAAGACCUUCUUUUUGCGAAUCGGCGAUCAACUGACUACCUGUCGUUGCGGUGGACUCUGGUCGAGAAACCCCAGCCAUUGGUUAGACUCGAGCCUUCGUCCGUAUUUGGGCUGCCUUCCCGGCUACGAAACCAAAGCUGGAGCCUAAUUCAUGUGUAACGAGAAAUAAAAAAAGGUUGUCUACUCUCAUUCCGUCUCAGUCAUGAUGACGCCCGAGCAGAGGUUUGCCACCUUUGUGCAAACACGAAUGUAUCGGGACUUGCUGCGAUUACGCGAUUAUAUUCACGGCGAUAGCUGCGAGGGAGACUUUCGCUCGAUUCUCAAGACGAUACCCUUACGUCUGUUCACCGUCAGUGGGAAGAUUGCAAAGAAAAUGAAGCGUUUCGUAGAUUACAAGCUCGAGCUGCUGGAGAAGUAUAGACGAGGAGAGACAGUCGACCCGUGUCUCAUCAACGCGGGUUUCAACCGACCUAUCGUCCGUCGCUACUGGCUUCUCCACACAUCCCUCGACGUCACGGUGCAGACCGGCGACGACGGCGAGCGUCGGGUCAGCACGUUGGAAGAUCGUCUCGCAAGGGUCUUGUGUAUGUCGUGAAUAAAUAUACUAUUUUUUACGAAACGAGUUCGCUCACGAGGAGACGUUUUAUUGUUUUGUCAUUCUCUUCGA